UAUUUCCACCCGGCCUUUCUCCGAGAUCUGCGGCCUGAAAAGCCGNNGUUAAACUAUCUUUAACUAUAGAAACCUGAU
rnacentral:tRNA from 1 species